CUCCUGGAAACGGGUGGUAAUGCCGGAUGCUCCGACAUGACGCAUGUCGUGUUGGGAAAGAUUCAUCGGUAUGGGAUGGGGUCGCGUCCUAUCAGCUUGAUGGCGGGGUAACGGCCCACCAUGGCUUCGACGGGUAGCCGGCCUGAGAGGGCGACCGGCCACAUUGGGACUGAGAUACGGCCCAGACUCCUACGGGAGGCAGCAGUGGGGAAUAUUGCACAAUGGGCGCAAGCCUGAUGCAGCGACGCCGCGUGCGGGAUGACGGCCUUCGGGUUGUAAACCGCUUUUGACUGGGAGCAAGCCCUUCGGGGUGAGUGUACCUUUCGAAUAAGCACCGGCUAACUACGUGCCAGCAGCCGCGGUAAUACGUAGGGUGCAAGCGUUAUCCGGAAUUAUUGGGCGUAAAGGGCUCGUAGGCGGUCCGUCGCGUCCGGUGUGAAAGUCCAUCGCUUAACGGUGGAUCCGCGCCGGGUACGGGCGGGCUUGAGUGCGGUAGGGGAGACUGGAAUUCCCGGUGUAACGGUGGAAUGUGUAGAUAUCGGGAAGAACACC
rnacentral:rRNA from 1 species